rnacentral:rRNA from 1 species
GAUGAACGCUGGCGGCGUGCCUAAUACAUGCAAGUCGAGCGAACGGACGAGAAGCUUGCUUCUCUGAUGUUAGCGGCGGACGGGUGAGUAACACGUGGAUAACCUACCUAUAAGACUGGGAUAACUUCGGGAAACCGGAGCUAAUACCGGAUGAUAUUUUGAACCGCAUGGUUCAAAAGUGAAAGACGGUCUUGCUGUCACUUAUAGAUGGAUCCGCGCUGCAUUAGCUAGUUGGUAAGGUAACGGCUUACCAAGGCAACGAUGCAUAGCCGACCUGAGAGGGUGAUCGGCCACACUGGAACUGAGACACGGUCCAGACUCCUACGGGAGGCAGCAGUAGGGAAUCUUCCGCAAUGGGCGAAAGCCUGACGGAGCAACGCCGCGUGAGUGAUGAAGGUCUUCGGAUCGUAAAACUCUGUUAUUAGGGAAGAACAUAUGUGUAAGUAACUGUGCACAUCUUGACGGUACCUAAUCAGAAAGCCACGGCUAACUACGUGCCAGCAGCCGCGGUAAUACGUAGGUGGCAAGCGUUAUCCGGAAUUAUUGGGCGUAAAGCGCGCGUAGGCGGUUUUUUAAGUCUGAUGUGAAAGCCCACGGCUCAACCGUGGAGGGUCAUUGGAAACUGGAAAACUUGAGUGCAGAAGAGGAAAGUGGAAUUCCAUGUGUAGCGGUGAAAUGCGCAGAGAUAUGGAGGAACACCAGUGGCGAAGGCGACUUUCUGGUCUGUAACUGACGCUGAUGUGCGAAAGCGUGGGGAUCAAACAGGAUUAGAUACCCUGGUAGUCCACGCCGUAAACGAUGAGUGCUAAGUGUUAGGGGGUUUCCGCCCCUUAGUGCUGCAGCUAACGCAUUAAGCACUCCGCCUGGGGAGUACGACCGCAAGGUUGAAACUCAAAGGAAUUGACGGGGACCCGCACAAGCGGUGGAGCAUGUGGUUUAAUUCGAAGCAACGCGAAGAACCUUACCAAAUCUUGACAUCCUUUGACAACUCUAGAGAUAGAGCCUUCCCCUUCGGGGGACAAAGUGACAGGUGGUGCAUGGUUGUCGUCAGCUCGUGUCGUGAGAUGUUGGGUUAAGUCCCGCAACGAGCGCAACCCUUAAGCUUAGUUGCCAUCAUUAAGCUGGGCACUCUAAGUUGACUGCCGGUGACAAACCGGAGGAAGGUGGGGAUGACGUCAAAUCAUCAUGCCCCUUAUGAUUUGGGCUACACACGUGCUACAAUGGACAAUACAAAGGGCAGCGAAACCGCGAGGUCAAGCAAAUCCCAUAAAGUUGUUCUCAGUUCGGAUUGUAGUCUGCAACUCGACUACAUGAAGCUGGAAUCGCUAGUAAUCGUAGAUCAGCAUGCUACGGUGAAUACGUUCCCGGGUCU